rnacentral:rRNA from 1 species
AGAGUUUGAUCCUGGCUCAGGAUGAACGCUAGCGGCAGGCUUAACACAUGCAAGUCGAGGGGCAGCGCGUUUGUAGCAAUACGAAUGGCGGCGACCGGCGCAAGGGUGCGUAACGCGUGAGCAACAUGCCCGUGUCAGGGGGAUAAGCGAUGGAAACGUCGUCUAAUACCGCAUAACAACAGAAGAGACAUCUUUUCAGUUUGAAAGAUACGUCGGACACGGAUUGGCUCGCGAGACAUUAGCUAGUCGGCGGGGUAACGGCCCACCGAGGCGACGAUGUCUAGGGGUUCUGAGAGGAAGGUCCCCCACAUUGGAACUGAGACACGGUCCAAACUCCUACGGGAGGCAGCAGUGAGGAAUAUUGGACAAUGGCCGGAAGGCUGAUCCAGCCAUGCCGCGUGAAGGCAGACGGUCCUAUGGAUUGUAAACUUCUUUUGUACGGGAGCAAUAAGGUCUACGUGUAGAUCGAUGAGAGUACCGUACGAAUAAGCAUCGGCUAACUCCGUGCCAGCAGCCGCGGUAAUACGGAGGAUGCGAGCGUUAUCCGGAUUUAUUGGGUUUAAAGGGUGCGUAGGCGGACUGGUAAGUCAGCGGUGAAACGCAGGUGCUCAACACCUGACCUGCCGUUGAUACUGCUGGUCUUGAAUGCGGAUGCUGUGGGAGGAAUGUGUGGGGUAGCGGGUGAAAUGCAUAGAUAUCACACAGAACACCGAUUGCGAAGGCAUCUCACAAACCCGCGAUUGACGCUGAGGCACGAAAGUGCGGGGAUCGAACAGGAUUAGAUACCCUGGUAGUCCGCACAGUAAACGAUGAUAACUCGCUGUUGGCGAUAGACAGUCAGUGGCCAAGCGAAAGCGAUAAGUUAUCCACCUGGGGAGUACGUCGGCAACGAUGAAACUCAAAGGAAUUGACGG